UGACGCCUGUGUCUCUUGCUGUGCCAUCUGUCACUCCACUGAUCACCAGGGUUGAUUAGGCUGGUCUGGCUGGCUAAGCAGGGAUGCCCGCCCUCUCUCAGUGCUCCCUGAGCUGUGCUCAGUAGAAGAGGGCAAAGUUCCCUGACAGAGAACCAUUGGCAGUCAUGGGUAUAAUGAGACAACUGUGCUCUCCGCUAGAACCUCCAAAUGAGCUCUCAAGCCAUGACUUCUUAGAAACAGUCGAGGUCUCUUUGCAAAGCAAUUCCAUAGUAAAU
rnacentral:snRNA from 1 species